UACGAGGGGUGCAAGCGUUGCUCGGAAUUAUUGGGCGUAAAGGGUAGGUAGGUGGUCUCAUUUGUCUGGGGUGAAAGCCUCGAGCUUAACUCGAGAAGUGCCUCGGAAACGGUGAGACUAGAGUCUUGGAGAGGGUCGUGGAAUUCCCGGUGUAGCGGUGAAAUGCGUAGAGAUCGGCAGGAACACCCAGGGGGAAACCAGCCGACUGGGCAUCUACUGACGCUGAGGUGCGAGAGCGUGGGGAGCGAACCGG
rnacentral:rRNA from 1 species